rnacentral:rRNA from 1 species
UACGUAGGGCGCAAGCGUUGUCCGGAAUUAUUGGGCGUAAAGAGCUCGUAGGCGGCUUGUCACGUCGGGUGUGAAAGCCCGGGGCUUAACCCCGGGUCUGCAUUCGAUACGGGCUAGCUAGAGUGUGGUAGGGGAGAUCGGAAUUCCUGGUGUAGCGGUGAAAUGCGCAGAUAUCAGGAGGAACACCGGUGGCGAAGGCGGAUCUCUGGGACGGUACUGACGCUGAGACGCGAAAGCGUGGGGAGCGAACAGG